rnacentral:rRNA from 1 species
AUGAAAUGCCUCUUUUGGAAUAUCAGGGGGAUUGCCACUUUUAGUAAAAGGCCCCAUAUUAGUGACACUUUAAGUAAAACCAAAGCAAAUAUCAUUGCCUUUCAGGAAACCAAGAAGGAGGAUCUCUCUACUGCCUUUCUGAAAUCCAUUAGUGGUAAUAGAUGUUUUGAAUGGCAUCACCUCCCUGCCUUGGGCACUGUAGGUGGGAUUUUAAUGGGGGUAGAUUUGGAUACCUUUGACAUUCUAGAAUGGGACUCCAAGAAAUUCUCAGUGUCCUGUACUCUCACUUUGAAAUCUACCCAAAAGAAAAUUAGGGUGGUUGCUGUCUAUGGCUCCCCCUAUGAAGAAGGCAAAGAUGAGUUCAUUUCUAAACUUCACUCCCUUCUAUUAGACAUUGACACACCCACCUUGAUUGGGGGAGAUUUCAAUCUCACUAGAUAUCAUAGUGACAAAAACAACGGGAAAGUGGACCAGAAAUGGUGUGAUCAAUUCAAUGCUUGGAUAGAGAUUUGGAGCCUUCUAGAAAUUAAGAUGUCAGGCAGACAAUUUACCUGGGCCAAUAACCAGGAUAAUCUUGUGAUGUCCACUAUAGAUAGAAUUCCACUGAGCUGGAUGAGAUUUUUCCUCUCAACUCCUCCCAAGCACUCCCUAGGGUUUGCAGUGAUCAUACCCCUUUGCUUUGGGAUUCAGGAGUUGACACUGUCCCUAGGGUUUCUAGUUUUAAGUUUGAAAAGUGGUGGCUCCUCAUUGACAAUUUAG